AUUGAACGCUGGCGGCAGGCUUAACACAUGCAAGUCGAGCGGAGAUGAGGUGCUUGCACCUUAUCUUAGCGGCGGACGGGUGAGUAAUGAUUAGGAAUCUGCCUAUUAGUGGGGGACGACAUUCCGAAAGGAAUGCUAAUACCGCAUACGUCCUACGGGAGAAAGCAGGGGAUCUUCGGACCUUACGCUAAUACAUGAGCCUAAGUCGGAUUAGCUAGUUGGCGGGGUAAAGGCCUACCAAGGCGACGAUCUGUAGCGGGUCUGAGAGGAUGAUCCGCCACACUGGGACUGCGACACGGCCCAGACUCCUACGGGAGGCAGCAGUGGGGAAUAUUGGACAAUGGGGGGAACCCUGAUCCAGCCAUGCCGCGUGUGUGAAGAAGGCCUUAUGGUUGUAAAGCACUUUAAGCGAGGAGGAGGCUACUGAGACUAAUACUCUUGGAUAGUGGACGUUACUCGCAGAAUAAGCACCGGCUAACUCUGUGCCAGCCGCCGCCGUAACAC
rnacentral:rRNA from 1 species